rnacentral:tRNA from 1 species
GCGGGCAUGGUUUAACGGUAGAAUGACUGCCUUCCAAGCAGUAGGCCGCGGUUCGAUUCCGCGUGCCCGCUCCA